GGUUUCAGGUCUUCUGCUAGCAUUCAGCAGGUGUUCUGUGCAAAUCGUUCUACAUGUAUAUGGCAUUUUAUUAUUAUUAUUAUUAUUAUUGUAUUUUGUCUUUUGUGGGCCGCAUCCACAGCAUAUGGAGCAGCCCUAGAAAAGGCAAAAAGACAAAAAGACAAAAAAAAAAAAACAAAAAAAAAACCUGAUUCUGGGAAAUGCACUGGUAAACCAUAAAAAAAGUAUAGUAAGAAGAAUGAUUUUUUAAAAUCUUCUACACGAAGAAGUUCCGUGCACAAAAUAAUAAGAAAAGCAUUUCACACUUAUUUGGAUAGCUAUAAUUUGAGGGACUCCUUCAACCCCUACCACAAUCCUGAAAGACAGGCAGGGUAGAUUAUAUUCUCCCCACCUUAAAGUCAAGGAGGAACCAUGACUCCAUAAAGCUCAUGUGUCUCUGUCAAAAUUACAGUUACCAAGACUGUGGUCGGUAAAAGUUACCAAGUUACCAAGAGGCACAGCCAGGAUAUGAAACUUCGUCUUCUGACUCCUAGGUCCUCUAUACUUUCUACUCCACUUGAUCCUUAUUUGUCAUUAAAGAAAAAUGUUCAGUUAGUUUUUGACAAACGAAUAAAUUCAAUGCAUGAGUAAAUCAGUUUUCAUCAGAAAGAAAUUCUGAAUGUUUAAAUUCCAGCCCCAAAUUUCACUAUUACUUACAACUUUCUCCCUCCAACUACAUAUUUCGUUUCUGAAGAAUUAGAUUUUUAUCCUCUGGAAAAAUAAAUCAUCUUUGAGCUGACAGGAAGGGAGCUGAUGAAGGUAGGAAGCUGAUGAACAAAGUCACUAAUAUUUUUUUCUGGAUAAAAAUCACAAGUUAAAAAAUAUGUUAUGUUCUUAGAAAUGACUUCUAAGAGGAACGCCAAAUUCUGGAAUGAAUUCAGACAGUCAUUUAUACUAAGAAGGGAGAAUCCCAACUUCCAGUCCACCCAGGAUUUUGCAUCUAUUAAAAUAGAAGAUAUUAUCAUAUUCUCUCAAGUGUCAGUCUGUACUGUCAGACUUCACAUUUAGCAAUUAUCUUGAUGCCAGCUGCCCCCACAAUUUCGUUUCAAAUUUAAUAUUCCUUAGAAAAUAUUACAUUUCAAAAUUUUAAGUGAUUUGCAAAAAGAUAGUGACAAAAGAGAUGGCCUCUAUAGGAAAGGUAUAUGUAGUCUCUCAAUGUACUAUGGAAACAUACUAGAAUCCUGUGAUGGACAGCUAUUAUUUGCCCUCACUCCUCUCCCAAAUUAUUCCAUUACUUCUGGUACAGCUCCCAGUUACUGUUUAAAUAACAUCUCUCUUCCACCUUCAGUCAUGUAGACUGGACGGGGUCUUCUCACUCCUGUCAGCAGAGCCAGAAAUGAACAUAAAACUUCUGAUACUAAGACUAGUGAUUUCUACUACUAUGUUAUGCUCCUAGAAAGACAUUUACUUGUGGUGUAGGUUGCAGAUGCGGCUCAGAUCCCGCAUUGCUGUGGCUCUGGCAUAGGCCGGUGGCUACAGCUCCGAUUGGACCCCUAGCCUGGGAACCUCCAUAUGCUGCGGGAGCGGCCCAAGAAAUAGCAACAACAACAACAACAAAAGACAAAAAGACAAAAAGACAAAAAAAAAAAAAAAAAAAAAAAAAAAAAGAAAGACAUUUACUGUUUUGUCUGUCCACUACAACAUCCUCUUCUUAUGGCUUAGCAAUUAAUGGUGGGGACUCCGCAAUCAAGUUGCUUGGGUUUGAAACAUGUUUCCAUCCCUUCAUACUAAAUGACUUGCGUCAGUUAUUACCAUCUCUAAGCCCCAGUUCUCUUACCUGUAAAAUAAUUUCAUUUGCAUAUUCAACAACUAUUGAAUACUUACUAUGCUCCCAGAUAUUGGACAAGUCCUAGGGUUGAAAUAGUGAAUUUAAGAUAGAAGAGGUUUAUAUAGAAAUGGAGGCAUUCCGGAGUUCCCGUCAUGGCGCAGUGGUUAACGAAUCCGACUAGGAACCAUGAGGUCGUGGGUUCGGUCCCUGCCCUUGCUCAGUGGGUUAAUGAUCCAGCGUUGCCGUGAGCUGUGGUGUAGGUUGCAGAUGCGGCUCGGAUCCUGCGUUGCUGUGGCUCUGGCGUAGGCCGAUGGCUACAGCUCCGAUUCAACCCCUAGCCUGGGAACCUCCAUAUGCUGCGAAAGCGGCCCAAGAGAUAGCAACAACAACAACAACAACAUCAAAAAGACAAAAAAAAGACAAAAAAAAAAAAAAAAAAAAAAAAAAAAAGAAAUGGAGGCGUUCCCACUGUGGCUUGGUGGUUUAAGAACAUGACAGUUUCUGUGAGGAUGGGAGUUUAAUCCCUGGCCUUGCUCAGUGGGUUAAGGAUCUGGUGUUACCACCAGCAGUGACAUAGGUCGCAGAUGCAGCUUGGAUCUGGCAUUGAUGUGGCUGUGGUAUAGGCCAGCAGCUCUAGCUCUGAUUUGAACCCUAGCUUGAGAACUUCCAUAUGCUGUAGGUGCAGCCAUAAAAAGAAAAAAAUGGAGUUUAUACUCUGCAGAAGAGGAGUCAGAUGAUAAACAAACAAGAGAAGUAUAGAUUAUGGAAAGUGCUAUAAAAGAAAGAGUGUGAUCAGAUAGUAAAAGAAAGUGAAGAUCCACUUUCUGAAUAUUUAGGAGAAAGCCUCUCUGAGGAGGUGAUAUUUAAACUGAGAUAUAAAAGAUAAGAAAGAGCUAGUCGCUCAAAGAACUAGAAAAGCAUUCCAGGAAAAGGGAAGCCAGAGAUAGAAAAGACCACGGCAUUAAAGGAGACCUAGGUAACAAGCACAGUGAGUGAGGACAGAUAUAGCUUAGGAUAAAGCUGGAAAGCUAAACAGAAGUCAGAUAAUGCUGGGCCUUACAAGUUACGGGAAGGAGUUUAGAUAUAAUUCUCUGAAGUGAUUUAUUUAAGCUUUUUUUUUUUUAAUAUUAUUCUGGCUGCUGUGUGAGAACAGAUAUAGCAAAGAAGAGUUAACUAUUUUAGAUAAAUGAAUGGAAGGCAAGGGGAAGGAGGAAACAAGUCAGAGAUGAUUCCUGGGUUAUCUGGCUUGAAUAAUUGUGCAUAUGCUCAUCUAUUUAUUAAGAUUGGAAAAAUCAGGAGAAGAUUGGGACUUAAGGUUCAUUACAUCUAAGAUGCUCAUCAUAUUACCUCAAAAUAGCUGUUAUACACAGUAAAUGAAAUAAUGUACGCAAAAAUGCUUAACAUAACACCUACCUCAUAGCAAGCACUCAAUUAAUGUUACCUACUGGUAUUGUUUGAGGGAAUGGAGGGAAAUUCCUCCCCUAAGUUACCCAUGUGGUUCUGAUAAUGACUGACAGUUUUAUAUUGUCCCCUGGCCCAGCUAGAGGGUUGGACACCAGGCCCAGAUGCAGCCAGUCACAGAAACCCAUUCUCUUAGCCACAGUGAUUGGCUCAUGACCCGAGCUGUAGCAACUGAAAUUCUUCUCAAGGAUUUUCGAAAUAGGAUCUGGAAGGGGGGGUUCCUUUUCCUCUUUAGCAGAGACCUUAUAAGAGCCCUGGGCUGCUAAUAGCAUGGUUCCCACUCUGGAAGACUUCUGCAAUUGGAGAGAAUGAGGCUGACACCCAGAGAAGGAGUGGUGAAAGACCAAGGCCUCUAGACAGAGCCCCUAUUCCCAAAGAUUCCAGAGCAGAACUAUCUGUCCAAUAUAAUGUGAUCCAGAUAUGUAGUCAUAUUAAAAAGAAGCAAAAGUAGGUAAAAUUAACUUUUAAAAUAUACUUUAUUUAACCCAAUAUGUCUAAAAUAUUAUCAGGUCAACAUGUAUGCAGCAUAAAAAACGGUUAACAGUACAUUCUUUCUGUUUAACAAGUCUUCAAAAGCAAGGGUAUAUUUCACACUUACAGAAAAUCUGGCUAUAGUUCAAGUGAUCAGUAGCUACGCACAGCUAAUUUACCGUGUUGGACAGCACUGCUUUAGAGGUGCUACCCCAGCCCUUUCCAUGUCAUGAACUAAUGCAUGCUCCUUUAGGAUGAUGCUCAUUUGAGUUCAGUUUCCAUCCUCUACCCUUGAAAGUGUUUAGUUCAAUCAAAAAUGCUAUUUCAUUUACUCCAUUUACCUCUUGAGACACUACUAAUAUUUUUUUAAAUCAUGCACAGAGUACACUGUACUCUGAAAAUUGAUUCAGCAAAUCUUUGCACUUAAGUGAUGGCCCAUCACUUACCUUCCUACUUGAGUGCCAACUUCCACAUUACACACACUAUUUAAGAUUCAUCAGACCUCGGUAUUCCAGCCUUAAUGAGCAUGAGACCACAAGGGAGCUUUUGUAAAACACAGAAACAAAGGACCUAGGCAUAAAAACUAUGAAUCAGUUGAUCUGUGGUGGGAUCUGAGACUCUAGUUUUAAAAUCCCUCCUAGUAAUUCUAAUAUUUAUCCAUAUUCAGAACUACUAAGUUGGUUCGAAUCAAAA
rnacentral:lncRNA from 1 species